ACCCAAGAAUGGAUCUAUCAUACUUGAUAACAGCUAUUUGCAUGCCCAGACAUAUGCCCAGGUAAGGAAUCAUGUUUUCACGGGCAUAUUUGGCAGAAAGUAUUUUACCCUCCACACAUCUAGCACCAAAUACUCCAGGCAGCUUACACCCCUAUUAACAGAUGACUCCGAUAGGCAUCCCAAGAGUAUACAAGAUUAAGUAGGGACACUAGGCGAGAAACAAUCAAACUCAAA
rnacentral:misc_RNA from 1 species